AUUGAACGCUGGCGGCAGGCCUAACACAUGCAAGUCGAGCGGAUGAAGGGAGCUUGCUCCUGGAUUCAGCGGCGGACGGGUGAGUAAUGCCUAGGAAUCUGCCUGGUAGUGGGGGAUAACGUCCGGAAACGGGCGCUAAUACCGCAUACGUCCUGAGAGAGAAAGUGGGGGAUCUUCGGACCUCACGCUAUCAGCUGAGCCUAGGUCGGGUUAGCUAGUUGGUGGGGUAAAGGCCUACCAAGGCGACGAUCCGUAACUGGUCUGAGAGGAUGAUCAGUCACACUGGAACUGAGACACGGUCCAGACUCCUACGGGAGGCAGCAGUGGGGAAUAUUGGACAAUGGGCGAAAGCCUGAUCCAGCCAUGCCGCGUGUGUGAAGAAGGUCUUCGGAUUGUAAAGCACUUUAAGUUGGGAGGAAGGGCAGUAAGUUAAUACCUUGCUGUUUUGACGUUACCAACAGAAUAAGCACCGGCUAACUUCGUG
rnacentral:rRNA from 1 species